ensembl:lncRNA
GAUGAUGGAGGCCCUGCCUGGUGGAGGAACUGAUGGAGGCCCUGCCUGGUGGAGGAACCUGGUGGAUGGAGGCCCUGCCUGGAUGGAGGAUUUCUGUCGUUGGGUAGAUGGAGCCCGACUCUGAAACUAUGAAUCUGUCUGAAGAGAGCUGGUGGGGGAGCUGAGAAGCUGUAAGACGAUUAGGAAUUGACAACAAGGAUUCCUCACGUUGGGGCCAGAUUUGAGCUGUUUGUUCCAGACCAGGACUCUGGCUGAGGAGUGCUGAUGGAGGAGCCAAGACUCUGGAGGACGACAUCACUCUAUCAACAAGGAUCCUCGUCAGUUUGCAUAAAACCAGGAAUCUGGAGGACUGACGGAGAAGCCAUACCUCUGGAAGGCAAAUCCUGAGGACGACCAGGACUCUACCAUCAAGGAUUCCUCACACACCUGAGCUGAACCUCACCUGAUCCUGUUUGGUCGGGGUCAGACUCACCUGAGCUGAACCCCACCUGAUCCUGCUGGUCCCGUCUCCUCAGUUCAUCUUAGCCUCGUCUUCCAGAAGACCUGCUGAACUCAGCGGUCUGAUCCUGAUGGAUCAAUGACCUCCAGUGGGAGUGAUCUUCUUGACCCCACAUGUACCUGUGUGCUUCCACACGCCUUACCCUCACGUCUGUCACUAACCUCACUACUUCACUAAUCUCUACUCCUUACCUUCUUCUUCCUUCUCCGUGGUUCGAACCUUUACUCUGAAGGAGUGUCUUCUUGAACCUUUACACUGAAGGACCAUCUUCCUGCCCUCAGAGGGUUCAGCGUUAGGGUUGAGAGUCAGGGUUUAGAGUCAGGGACAGAGCUGGUCAGGGAGGACUGGUUUUACACAAACCUCUUCACUUGCUUUUGUGAAUGGUGGUGACAUUUUGAAAUGAUUAAUUUGGGAAAAUGUUUUCCUCUGCUUUCCUUUACAAAAGUAUGUAUUCAACUUCUGUCAAGUGUUUUUGUUUAUACUGUAUAUUAAAAUCCUACAUUGACUUCUACAUGUUUGGUGCGUUUCAUAAAUUGUCCUUUAACUUGGUUAAUGUCAAGCUAAACUCCUGCAAUACAUUUAAUAUACAUGAUGGAUGCUAUUCAGCAAUGUUCACAUAAUCCAUUUUGCAAAAAUACAAACAUCCAUAUUACUACUAAAUUCAAGCCUAUUCAUGUAUUUAACCAUGUACAUACUGCCCCCGCAGGCCAUUCUCUGCUACUACAACAGGUUCAAACCACCAACCCGGUCUCGCAUCGAUGUACUAUAGCUUUGUUGGUUCAAACGGAAAAUGUAGUUUGGUGUGAGACUGUUGUCCAAACUGUCCAGCAGAGGGAGGUGUCAUACACCUCAAUUAAUUAUACAGGAAUGUGUGU